rnacentral:tRNA from 1 species
GGCCUUAUAGUCGAGGGGUUAAGACUUGAUACUUUCACUGUCAUAUUCGAGGGUUCGAGUCCCUCUAAGGUCAA